AGGUCUGAUGAGGGAGGAAGAGCGAAACAACAGAGCUGUGGAAGGUGACAAGAAAAAUACAGAAUUAUUCAGAAAUAACAUUUCAAGUAUAGGUCCUAAUUUGACGUUCAUCUGUAACAAAUGAGAUAGUGUUAUGAGACCUUGUGUCCCGCAUCCUCCAGGAACUUGGCAGCAGUGAGUCCAGCAGCACCUGCUCCGAUGAUUAUCACACGCUGAGGGUUCUUCGCUGGAGGUAGACCUUGUUCUGUUAGCUUCAGAAGCUCACCAUGUAGAAACCGAAAGAAUAUGAUGGUGAUGCUUUUACCCACAAAGUUUCCGAUGCUGUCCUGUCACUCAUGAUGCAGGUUAAGUAAAAAACCAACAUCAUUAUCUUCAUAGGCCUAUUUAAUGGAAAGACA